rnacentral:rRNA from 1 species
GUAGGUGGCAAGCGUUGUCCGGAACUAUUGGGCGUAAAGCGCGCGCAGGCGGUUCUUUAAGUCUGAUGUGAAAGCCCACGGGCUCAACCGUGGAGGGUCAUUGGAAACUGGAGAACUUGAGUACAGAAGAGGAAAGCGGAAUUCCACGUGUAGCGGUGAAAUGCGUAGAGAUGUGGAGGAACACCAGUGGCGAAGGCGGCUUUCUGGUCUGUAACUGACGCUGAGGCGCGAAAGCGUGGGGAGCAAACAGGAUUAGAUACCCUGGUAGUCCACGCCGUAAACGAUGAGUGCUAAGUGUUAGGGGGUUUCCGCCCCUUAGUGCUGCAGCUAACGCAUUAAGCACUCCGCCUGGGGAGUACGGCCGCAAAGGCUG